UACAGAGGUGGCAAGCGUUGUUCGGAAUUACUGGGCGUAAAGGGCGCGUAGGCGGCUUGGUCAGUCCCGUGUGAAAUCCCUCGGCUCAACUGAGGAACUGCACGGGAAACUGCCUGGCUUGAGUUCGGGAGAGGGAAGCGGAAUUCCGGGUGUAGCGGUGAAAUGCGUAGAUAUCAGGAGGAACACCGGUGGCGAAGGCGGGACUCUGGGCCGAUACUGACGCUGAGGAGCGAAAGCGUGGGGAGCGAACAGG
rnacentral:rRNA from 1 species